rnacentral:rRNA from 1 species
GAUGAACGCUGGCGGCGUGCCUAACACAUGCAAGUCGAACGGACUUACAUUGAAGCCUAGCGAUAUGUAAGUUAGUGGCGGACGGGUGAGUAACGCGUGGGUAACCUGCCUUGUACUGGGGGACAACAGUUGGAAACGACUGCUAAUACCGCAUAAGCGCACAGCUUCGCAUGAAGCAGUGUGAAAAACUCCGGUGGUACAAGAUGGACCCGCGUCUGAUUAGCUGGUUGGUGAGGUAACGGCCCACCAAGGCGACGAUCAGUAGCCGGCCUGAGAGGGUGAACGGCCACAUUGGGACUGAGACACGGCCCAAACUCCUACGGGAGGCAGCAGUGGGGAAUAUUGCACAAUGGGGGAAACCCUGAUGCAGCAACGCCGCGUGAGUGAAGAAGUAUUUCGGUAUGUAAACUUCUUUUACCAGGGUACGAAGGACGUGACGGUACCUGGAGAAAAAGCCACGGCUAACUACGUG